GAUGAACGCUAGCUACAGGCUUAACACAUGCAAGUCGGGGGGCAGCAUGAGCUUAGCUUGCUAAGCUUGAUGGCGACCGGCGCACGGGUGAGUAACACGUAUCCAACCUCCCGCUUACUCGGGGAUAGCCUUUCGAAAGAAAGAUUAAUACCCGAUGGUGUCUUAAGCGCGCAUGCAAUUAAGACUAAAGAUUCAUCGGUAAGCGAUGGGGAUGCGUUCCAUUAGGUAGUAGGCGGGGUAACGGCCCACCUAGCCUACGAUGGAUAGGGGUUCGGAGAGGAAGGUCCCCCACAUUGGAACUGAGAAACGGUACAAACUCCUAGGGGAGGCAGCAGUGAGGAAUAUUGGUCAAUGGGCGCGAGCCUGAACCAGCCAAGUAGCGUGAAGGAUGAAGGUCCUACGGAUUGUAAACUUCUUUUAUAAGGGAAUAAAGUAUGCCACGUGUGGCGUUUUGCAUGUACCUUAUGAAUAAGCAUCGGCUAACUCCGUGCCAGCAGCCGCAGUAAAAC
rnacentral:rRNA from 1 species